UAGGUUUGCCUUAAGCCAAACUUCUCUUUGACUUAGUUUUUAGAAAAGUAUACUAACAUCUACAAGUUUAAAUAGAUGCACUAUCAUGACAUAUUCCAUAGAGAAUUUAAUGAAACUAAUUCGAUGUUGUAAACGUUGGUACAUUUUUCUAUAAACUUCCUAAAGUUAGAGAAGUUUGACAUAGGCACGUUAAA
rnacentral:pre_miRNA from 1 species